CCCUUAGAUGUCCUGGGCCGCACGCGUGCUACACUGAGUGGAUCAGCGGGUCAGGUUGCGCGAAAGCGUUUCCUAAUCUUGAAAUCCGCUCGUGAUGGGGAUUGACGGUUGCAAUUUUCUGUCAUGAACGAGGAAUACCUUGUAAGCGCGAGUCAUCAUCCCGCGCUGAAUACGUCCCUGCCCUUUGUACACACCGCCCGUCGCUCCUACCGAUUGAGUGGUCCGGUGAGGCUUUGGGAUCUGAGCGGAAAGAGCGUUUCGCUCGUUCUGCCCGGAAAACUCAGUCGAACCUUAUCAUUUAGAGGAAGGAGAAGUCGUAACA
rnacentral:rRNA from 1 species